UGCCAGACUCCUACGGGAGGCAGCAGUGGGGAAUAUUGCACAAUGGGCGAAAGCCUGAUGCAGCGACGCCGCGUGAGUGAAGAAGUAUUUCGGUAUGUAAAGCUCUAUCAGCAGGGAAGAAAAUGACGGUACCUGACUAAGAAGCCCCGGCUAACUACGUGCCAGCAGCCGCGGUAAUACGUAGGGGGCAAGCGUUAUCCGGAUUUACUGGGUGUAAAGGGAGUGUAGGUGGCAUAACAAGUCAGAAGUGAAAGCCCGGGGCUCAACCGCGGGACUGCUUUGGAAACUGUAUGGCUGGAGUGCAGGAGAGGUAAGUGGAAUUCCUAGUGUAGCGGUGAAAUGCGUAGAUAUUAGGAGGAACACCAGUGGCGAAGGCGGCUUACUGGACUGUAACUGACGUUGAGGCUCGAAAGCGUGGGGAGCAAACAGGAUUAGAUACCCCAGUAGG
rnacentral:rRNA from 1 species